ACGACGGUGCGAUGUCAGAAUGGUUCAGAUAAUAACUACAGAACAAAGCCAACAUCAGCGUGAGCUUUGGUUGCGAAUGGUAUGAACUUUGAACUCUUAUUCACUACAGAAGUGAUACUUCCUAGCCGUUGAGUUAGCAACAGCCGCUGCAAACAAGGGUUAGGAAGGAACUGACAGAGUAUCCGGUCUACCACACAACGACGUUACUACAACGUAUUCGAUUUACAACACGGCCUUCCAUCUACCACCAACCUACCGAAGCGCAGCUCAGAGGUGGGGUUGGAAGAACUGGUGUGAUGGGAGAGAAAGGAGACACGGGAAGUUUUGGAGCACGUGGUGACAAAGGACAG